rnacentral:lncRNA from 1 species
GCAAGUAAAUGUAUUUCCUUGUCCAUUCCUUUCCAUAUCUACCUCACCCCAAUCCAUUUUCCUUCCAUAGGAAGCAUAAAGUUACAACACUCCCUGGAUCAUAGAACCAGAAAAAAGAAACCUUGGCGGCCAUCUUUUCCAAAUUCUUUUUACAGAAAAUAGACCUGGUGAGAUUAAGGGACCAGCCACCUAGCUAAGUGGUGCAGAGGAGAUAGGAAGAUCUGAGUUCAAUUCCAGCCUCAGACAUUUACUGGCUAUGUGACUCUAGCAACAGUGAACGGCAGACACCUUCCCAGCCUAUGGAAUGAGCCCCUCAGUACCAGCACAUCUACCUGCUCCUCCAUCACCAGCUCUAUCUGUGAUACCAAGUGCCUUGAUAACUUCCACCCAUCCAUCCAUGAUGAUAUGACUACAAUAGUUAAAGGUAUCAAGAUAUCACUUCCCUUGAGUCCAGGGUAGAGAUCUGACACUACAUGUGGUUCAAGAUUACUAUCUCCAGGAUCUUCAUUCAUUCAUAUGCAAUCAACUGACUAUACCAAACAUGGAAGGUUCCAGAGAUGAGUGGGAA